UUGAGAGAGAAAAUUGAAUAGCCGGAGUUUUUCAUCAGGGAGUCGCCGACGGAAUCCAUCUCCUACCAAGACCUGCACUCUGGAGUUCUUCUUGGAGUGAAGUAAGAACUCGUGUUGAGGUUUCCUCCUCUUUCGUCAAGAUCAGAGAGAAAACCCGCAAGGGAAGAUCCGCCGCUGAUUUUGGUGAGGAAAUCGG